GAUGAACGCUGGCGGCAUGCCUAACACAUGCAAGUCGAUCGGUAAGGCUCUUCGGAGUACACGAGAGGCGGACGGCUGAGUAACGCGUAGGAACACACCCUGCAGUGAGGGAUAAGACACCGAAAGGUGUUCUAAUACCGCAUACGGUCUUCGGAUUAAAGCAUUUAUGCGCUGAAGGAGUGGCCUGCGUCAUAUUAGAUAGUUGGUGAGGUAAUGGCUCACCAAGUCGAUGAUGUGUAGCUGGUCUGAGAGGAUGAUCAGCCAGACUGGAAAUGAGACACGGUCCAGACUCCUACGGGAGGCAGCAGUGAGGAAUAUUUCACAAUGAGCGAAAGCUUGAUGGAGCAAUGCCGCGUGCAGGAUGAAGGCCCUCGGGUUGUAAACUGCUUUUAUAAGAGAAGAUUAUGACGGUAACUUAUGAAUAAGGGACGGCUAACUACGUG
rnacentral:rRNA from 1 species